AUGGUGCACGGGUGCUGCCCCACCCCUAUGCAGCUCGGUCGCCACCCCCUGUGCAACUCGGUUGCGUCCGUCUCUCCUUUCCCCUCACCCACGCCGAUUAGGGGAGCGAGGAGCGGCGGCGGCGGAGCUUUCUCAUGGCAAAGGGAGGUGCGGGCGCACGGGGCUCCACGGGCGGCAUCUGUAGUUCAAUCCAUGCAAGAUGAGAUGAUCCUCCUCCUGGCCGAACAGUUCAGAAAGAAGGAUUGUGCUCACAGUAUGCAGGUGUUGUGGUCGUGCAUCUCGGAAAUGCUCGCGAUGCCGUUCAGAGCUUGUGCCCGUGCAGUACGGCGAGCGCCAUCUCUUCCCAUUGGUCGGUGGACCAUGGCCGUGCAGCUCGGAGAUGCUCGCCAUGUGGUUCGGGACUUGUCUGUGUGCAGUCGGGAGAGCGCCAUCUCCAUCUCUUCCCGUGUGGUCCGUCGACCAUGGUUGUGCAGCUCGCAGACCCUCGUCGUUCGGUUCAGGGCUCAUGCGUGUGCAGUCCUGCGAGGGCCAUCUCUUCCCUUGCUCGUAAGGUUCUUUUGA
rnacentral:rRNA from 1 species